rnacentral:rRNA from 1 species
UACGUAGGGUGCAAGCGUUAUCCGGAAUUAUUGGGCGUAAAGAGCUCGUAGGCGGUUUGUCGCGUCUGCUGUGAAAACCCGAGGCUCAACCUCGGGCCUGCAGUGGGUACGGGCAGACUAGAGUGCGGUAGGGGAGAUUGGAAUUCCUGGUGUAGCGGUGGAAUGCGCAGAUAUCAGGAGGAACACCGAUGGCGAAGGCAGCUUGCUGGGACGUUACUGACGCUAAGGCGCGAAAGCGUGGGGAGCGAACAGG